rnacentral:rRNA from 1 species
GAUCAUGGCUCAGGAUGAACGCUGGCGGCGUGCCUAACACAUGCAAGUCGAGCGGAGAUAUAGAGAGAUUCUUCGGAUACUUCUUAUCUUAGCGGCGGAUGGGUGAGUAACACGUGGGUAACCUGCCCUGCACAGGGGGAUAACAGCUGGAAACGGCUGUUAAUACCGCAUAUGCACACGCUGCCGCAUGGCAGAGGGUGGAAAGAUUUAUCGGUGCAGGAUGGGGCCCGCGUCGGAUUAACUUGUUGGCAGGGUAACGGCCUACCAAGGUGAUGAUCCGUAGCCGACCUGAGAGGGUGACCGGCCACAUUGGGACUGAGACACGGCCCAAACUCCUACGGGAGGCAGCAGUGGGGGAUAUUGCACAAUGGGCGCAAGCCUGAUGCAGCGACGCCGCGUGAAGGAAGAAGUAUUUCGGUAUGUAAACUUCUAUCAGCGGGGAAGAAGAUGACGGUACCCGACUAAGAAGCCCCGGCUAACUACGUGCCAGCCGCUGC